GUGAAUCAUCAAAUCUUUGAACGCAAAUUGCACUUUCUGGUAUUCCGGAGAGUAUGCCUGUUUGAGGGUCAGUUAAAUAAAAAUCGGUGGUGGUGCUGCUUUUCGGGGUGACGCGUCGGAAUUUAGUUGUCUUACCUUUGGGUAAGGGGCUUAAAAUUUUGCAUGAUUUUCUAACGUAUGUAAUUUUCUGAUGUACGUUUGGUUUGUGGAAUACUUUAUUAGGUGUGGUCAUCCUCAUGAUUCGCGCCUAUAAUUUUUCAUCAAAAUACUCCAAAACAAGUAAAGAUACCC
rnacentral:misc_RNA from 1 species